rnacentral:lncRNA from 1 species
AAAAAGAUUAGGCUUUCAUCACAUCUUCAAAAAAUAUAUAUUCACAAAACGAUUCUGUCUUUCCAACAGCCACCUCAAGGUGAGAAAGGUGAACAAGGACCCCCUGGAAAGCCUGGCCCAAAGGGAGAUCCAGGACUUCCUGGUUUUGCAGGACCAGCUGGCCCAGCGGGACUACAGGGCGAUAAAGGCGAUGCUGGGUUGCCUGGGCCAGUGGGACCAGUAGGACCACCAGUAAGUUUUUUUUGUUGUUUUCCAGAUGAAAUGAUGGUCUUCAGUUGUAUGUACAGUAUUG